rnacentral:rRNA from 1 species
GACGAACGCUGGCGGCGCGCUUAACACAUGCAAGUCGAGCGAGAAUCAGACUUUCGGGUCUGAGGACAGCGGCGAACGGGUGAGUAACACGUGGGUAAUCUGCCCUCGGCACCGGAAUAGCCCGGGGAAACUCGGAUUAAUGCCGGAUGGCCCAACAGCUCUUCGGGGCGGUUGGGAAAGGUAGCUUAGGCCUCCGGCCGAGGAGGAGCCCGCGGCGGAUUAGCUAGUUGGUGAGGGUAAUGGCCCACCAAGGCGACGAUCCGUAGCUGGUCUGAGAGGACGAUCAGCCACACUGGGACUGAGACACGGCCCAGACUCCUACGGGAGGCAGCAGUGGGGAAUCUUGCACAAUGGGCGAAAGCCUGAUGCAGCGACGCCGCGUGGGGGAAGAAGGCUUUCGGGUUGUAAACCCCUUUCAGGAGAGACGAAGCUACUCGGGUUAAUAGCCCAGAGGGUGACGGUACCUUCAGAAGAAGCCCCGGCUAACUACGUGCCAGCAGCCGCCGUAAUAC